rnacentral:ncRNA from 1 species
GGGGACCUAAGGGGCCCUAUAACACGGUGGGUUUUACCCCACCGAUACACAUAGCGGAACCUUUGGUUCUGCACUGCUAAACGGAAGACAGAAA